GGUCUAUAAAUAGCAAACG
rnacentral:snRNA from 1 species